CGAAACCCAAAUAUUCUGACCCCAACUGCAGGAUUUUUCCACUGCACCUGGCUGCCUCCGCCCUGGCCCCAGAUUGGCUCCUCCAGAAACAGACUAGCCCGGCCCUUUGCCCUGCUGGGCCCUCCUGGGAGAGCGCUUUUCACAACAUUGGCUGGGAUGAGGGUCUGGAGGGCCCGGAACGGAGCCUGCCUUCUCCUUCUCAGUCACGCUUGGCCCAGGCUGCCCCGGACCGGGCCACAUCCUUGGCCGCCCCGCACCUGACGUGAGAAGAGGCUACGUAUCAUAGAUUCCUCCAUCAGUAGUAAGGAGCCUGAGUUUCUGUCUCAGGUCAGCUUGUGUGGCUUUGAAUGAGAGGCUCUGGUCUGCAGUUUUCACAUCUGCAUCGUCUAAAGGCAAGGGCACAGACUUUACUGCCUGGUAGACAUGGGGUAGGCCCUCCUUUAUUGGCAGUGUGACCCUGGGCAAAUUACUUGUCUUAAUCUCCAAUUCCACACCUGUGAAACCCCACCUCCAAGGUUGUGGGAACCCAAAAGAAUGUAUGUAAAGCACCUGUUGCAUUGUAGGAAUCUACUUAAUAUUACUGUAGGAGGUUGAACUAAAUGGCUCUUGAGGUCUCCUCGGUUACUCCCAUUCUCCAUGUCACCAAGAGGUCUUGUCUGGGUAGUUUCAACUCCUUACCCAGCUUCUUUCUAAGUCCACUCUAUGCAGGGCAGGGCUGGAAUAGCAAGGUCAGAUGAUGUCAUGGCAUGCCAACCUGACUCUGAAUGGCAGUUCAUGGCACCCUGAACUGAAAGUGAGGGAACAGGAAGGAAAAGGCUAGCCCAGGGAAACUGCGGAGCACUUUACUCGGACUACACCUACCUUUCCUUCCCCAGGGGGCUGCCAGGAAACAGUUGUCACACAGCUGGAGUGGGACCCCCAGAGGCACUUAGUGGUCACCAGGCAGGUGGGUAUUUGAACCACCCAGAGCAGAACAGGCAGCUUCUUCAAUAUUUCCAGGGCCAAUGGCCCCAAAAGGGCUCAUUCCAAGAUCGAAAUAAUCAUCUGAGUCUGAAAUAGCUCUGCCUAUGUCCUGUGGAAGUUUCUCCUGGUUUGUGGAGGUGCCUUUCCUUAUAGUCAUCUUUCUGCAGACAUAAGCAAACCCAGUGUUGUUCUUUUCACAGAAACCUCCCCAGCAUUAAGGCAAGAAAGGUGUCUCUGUUUUUUCCGAAGUGUGCCUGCUUGACUCCUUUGAUUUUUCUCUGGGAUUCUUCAUCCUCCAUCAAGUUGAUCGAUCCCUCUGGAUCUUGGUCAGUUUCCUGACAUCUCUAUGAAGUUCAGUGACCCAGACUGAGUCCACGUCUCAAAUAAGGUUCUGACUAAUGCAGAGUCUAACAGAAAGAUUACUGAACAUGUCAUGCACUAUUAAUAACUCCUGUUAUCGAGGAUUUUUUUUUCACAAUAGGAAUGAACAGAGUUCUGACUCACUCUAGGUUUGUGGUAAAUUGCAGAUCACUUUCUGCUUUAUUUAGCGGGAGUCCCUGUUGUCAUCUUUCUCCUUCUCUCUUGGCCCUCAUAAUUAUCAUAUCUUCCCCAAACGUUCUUCAGCUGUGAAUAGCCCUAAGCACUAUUCAGAGUGAGUGACAGCUCUCUUAUUUCGUGCUGGGGGACAUACAAACCCUUGGACAAACACUUGUCACUGUGUGCCAAGAAGCUGAAAAAUUCUUCUUGCCUCAGAGCCAUAAUUACACUUUUGGUAGCAUAUUCUAAGGAAGUCAUCCCAUGUACAGGAAAAGCUGCAAUGUGUCAGGAUGUUCAUUCCAGCAAUAUUUAUAGUAGUGAAAAACUGAAAGCAACCAAAUGCCCAAGAAAAAAAUUACAGUAUAUCCACUGGAUGGAAUAGUAUGAAGCCAUUUAGGACAGAUUGUGAAAACCCUGUGGCAGUAUGGGGAAUGUUUGCUAAGUUAUAUGAAAAGAUGAGGACACAAAAUAGCAUAACAUACAUUCCCCAGGGAUAUAGUCAGCAAAGUCUAGAAUGAAGAAAAUUAGGACAAACACCCAAUUCCCUUAACAAAUAAAACUGGGGCCAGGUAUGGUGACUCACGCCUGUAAUCCCAGCACUUUGAGAGGCCAAGGCUUGUGUCCAGGAGUUCGAGACCAACCUGGACAACAUGGUAAAACCCCGUGGUCUACAAAAAAUACAAAAAUUAGUUGGGCAUGGUGGUGUG
rnacentral:lncRNA from 1 species